CAGUCGCCGCGGUAAUACAGAGGGUGCAAGCGUUAAUCGGAAUUACUGGGCGUAAAGCGCGCGUAGGUGGUUUGUUAAGUUGGAUGUGAAAGCCCCGGGCUCAACCUGGGAACUGCAUCCAAAACUGGCAAGCUAGAGUACGGUAGAGGGUGGUGGAAUUUCCUGUGUAGCGGUGAAAUGCGUAGAUAUAGGAAGGAACACCAGUGGCGAAGGCGACCACCUGGACUGAUACUGACACUGAGGUGCGAAAGCGUGGGGAGCAAACAGGAUUAGAUACCCGCGUAGUCCCUGUCUAUUAUAA
rnacentral:rRNA from 1 species